rnacentral:lncRNA from 1 species
GAAAGGAAAGAACACAAACCCUAGGUGCGAAAAUUGAAGAAAAAGUGUGGGAUUUCAAGGGAUUAAGCUAAUAAAGGUAAAAUUUUGUGAUUUUAUCUUGUUAUUUUAUCUUGUCAUUUACACUACCCAUGCUUUCUUUUUCAUUUUCCAUGCUUAGAACUCAAGUUUGCAUGAUGAACCCAUGUUGGCCGAAUUUGAGAAGAGAGGUUUUGAGCAUUGAUUUUGCUAGAUUUCAAGCCAAUUAAGUGUUUUUGGUUGUUUGGUAAUGGAAAGUAUGAAAAUCUAGCAAGGAAUCACUUUGUUCUUCACAAACCCACAAGAGGCCAAAUUUUCUAGGGAGGAUUUUGAGGCUGAAUAUUAUGAUAUUUCAUGAUAUUUUGGUGGUAUUUAAUGAUUGGUGAGGCUAGAAAUUUAAUGGGAAAUUUUGGCAUGAAAAUCUAAAUUUUACCUAAUGUAUAGGCAUGUGCGAUUUAUGGUUCGGACUGAUAAAUUGAAUCAUAUUCAUAGUCAUUAAGGUAUUUUAAGUAUAAUUGGAGUGUAGAAAGUGAAAGAAAUCGAUUUGGAGUUAAAUUGAAGGUUGUAGCCAAUUACAUCGAGAAUAGCGUGAAUUAGGUCGAAUAUCGUAUUUAAACAGCUAUUCGGACAUUUUACAUCACAUUUCGUGCAUUCAUAUAGAUUUAUAGAGCCUGAAAUAGUUUAUGAUAAAUUGACACCAUUUAUUGAAAUUCGUGUCACGUAUGAUGUAUAGGUGGUGAGCCCUUUAACAACGAUAAAGAGAUUGUGCCCGAAGACGUGGAAUAGGAGUAUAUCGAACUCCUAGUACUGUGAGUAACCUCACUAUCGUCUUAAUUAUCUAAAGUGGUUUUUAUCCGAUUUUGUGAAUAUCCUAAAAAAUGAAUUAAAUGAUUAAUUUUUCGAUUUUAUAAACCAAAUUGUGAUUUAAUGAAAUGAUUUCAUAAAAUUGUUUUAAAAUUGAAUAAUGGCUUUGAAAAUAGAGUAAUUGGAGACCAUUUGAAGUAUUGUGAAUUUAUGGUUCUAAUUGAUUGGCUUAUGACAAUAUUGGCAUGAAUGGCUAAAUUAGAAUUUGUGUUGAAAUUUAUAAACUGUUGUUUGCCUUGAUAGGUUGGAUAAUGAUAAAAAUGCCAUGUUAUGCUGUUGAAUUUUUAUUGUAUGUUGGGUUUAGCUUGCUGUAGUGGGCUGGUUCUGUGGACUAGCUUUUUAGAGGGGCACGAAACCUGGUCAUAUUCUUACCUCGGUUGGAGCGGCGAGUAGGGUAACUCGCAAGGUAUAACUUUUAGAGUUCACUUCACGCCAAACAACCAUGUGAGGGAGAACUCAGCCAACGCCAAGGAACGACUAUAUUUUCAAAAUAAAAACAUGAUUUAUGAGUACAUAACUUUUUAAUAGCCUUGGCGGACUCGGUUUGGGAUAGCCCUCGGCCAAGGUAUCACCAAUAAUUGAGUAUCAGAAUGAUUUUGGCACGAGCCAAAUCUUUUAAGAAAUUCAUAGGCCAUGUUAAUUACUCGAUUUAUAUGAAUUGAUUUUAUUUGGUUGAAACUUGUUGAAAGGUGAUGAAUUACAGUAUGUUAAACUAUUUUAUCUAUCUCCAUUUACUCAACUUUAGAUAUUUUAGAUGGUAUUUUUUACUCACUGGGAGUAUAUAAUCUCACCACCCUCUUUUCCACCAAUUUCAAGCUCAGAAUAGAUUGUAGAUAACUAAUAUCGUCAUGGACUACAGUUGGACUUGUCACAUCCAAAAACUGUAGGUUCAUUUCUUUUGAUACUUUUAGUCAUUCGUGGGCCCACGUGUUACUGUAAAUUAAAUUUUGUACUUUGGUUAUCUGUAUUACAAUAUGUAUGAAUUUAUUUAGCUUUUAUGCUACAAAAAUUAUUUAUCGGUAACUCUAUAAAUAUUGUUUUAUAAGAAAAUAGAACAUUUUAUUGAAUAUUUUUGUUAUAUUCAAAUAGAUAUAGUUUCGUUUUAAAUGAAUGUUUUAGACAUCUAAAUAUAUUUUUUAUUCUGAAAUAUAUGUUUUCCACUCGUAUACGACAUUUUUAAUUGGUUUCGAGAUUUGUGAGGAAAAAUGACCAAAAUGCCCCUGUGAGACAAAAGAAUUAUUUUUCUAUUGUUUUGAUUUGGUAAUAGUUUAUUGUCACGACCCAAAUUUCGGGCCAUUUCCGGCCCAUGGGCCCAAUGGAUGUAAUCCACUAAGCCCAAGCAAGCCUAUUAAUCUAACAUACUCAUCAUUCCAUCAUAACUACUAAGUCCUAUUUCAUAACUUAGAAUCAUAAUAAAAUUAAACAUUCGCCAACUCAUACUGGCAUAUCAAUUAAGUGUACAUUGCCUACAACAUGUAUCUUAAUAAUUUACAUCAAGUUUUUCUAUACAUCUCAAAAAAAGAAGACUUGACUUCUAGCGGAGGGACUCGGACGAAUGUAUAGCUACUGAAUGCCGAGACACCUACCAAAAGAUGGAUAUAAGUCUACAAGGACACCUCGUCCUAGUUACCUGCUGCCUCGUGAUCUGAAAACAUGAAGUUAAAAACGAUGAGUAUAAACCCAGUGAGUGAACAAGAAAGGGAACAAGCAUACCAUAAGGAAUCUUUAACGAAAUCAUGAUGCAUUCUUUUUCAGAACAAUGCAAUUUGUUUCUAUUCUUAUUAAAAACCCCUCAUCAAGCCCUUAAAUGAUUAAUCCAUUGAAAAUCAUGAACCCAUACAUAACGAACCAUUUGAAGAAUGAAAGCUUCAAUAUUACAAAAGCAAGUCAAAUACGACAAUGAGAUUGCCUUUCCGCUGCAGUGACGUUGGGAUUUGGUUAUUAGCCGAACGAGGGUUUCUCACUAAAUCUCCCCAUAUUAAACUUAACUCAUCUAAUCCUUAAUGUUGGAAGUCCAUGCUCCGAUAUGGUAGCAAAGUAAUGAAAGAUAGGGCAGCAAUUGGAGAAGAUAGGAAACCAAAACAUAAGGUUUUUCGUUGCAGUAAGAUUCUUUCUCGCUGCAGCGAAAUUGUAACCCAGAAACAGAAGGUUUCUCGCUGCAGCAAAAUUCAGCUGAUGAAACAGAGAGUUUUUCGCUGCAGCGAGAUUCCUUUUUGCUGCAGCGAGAAGCUACAGUGACUAUGUCGCUGUAGCAAAAUACAUUCUCGUUGCAGCGAGAACUAAUUCUGGUGAAGGUUCUCAAACCUGAGAGUUUCUCGCUGCAGAGAAAUAUAGGGCACCAAACGAAAAUUUCCCUUUCUCCCAAAGAAAACCACCCUGCUUGAAAUGUUCAAAACCAAUAAGAAAUGCAUAACAACUUCCCAAAGUUUAACAUACCGAAUUUCACAUACAUUACAUCCAUAUACAUAACUCAUAAAUGUAUUAUAACACACAUGUUUACGUAUAUAUACAUAUACAUAUACCCAUCACCAUCAUGCACACCAUCCCAUCAUCAUCAUCACCAACUCAUGCGCACUCCCUACUCGCACAUGGCUAGGUCAUCAUCGGGUUAUGCGCACUCCCUAAUCGCACAGAACCUGGUCAUCCUCGGCUUAUGUGCACUCCCUACUCGCACAUAGCCGAGUCAAUAUAAUUACAUAACAUUAUAUUCAAGCAUAUAUGUAUAUCAACAUAAUGCAGCCACAUAGAAAUCCAUAAUAACCACGUAUCAUAACAUAAACCAUUUCACAAGAGCUUGUUCCCAAGGCAUUCAUUUUUGAGCAAAGUUGUAUAAAAUCAUUCAAACACUUUGUUCAAAACAGUCAUAUUUUCAAAACAAUUUUGAUAGGCAGUCCACUCAUCAAUUGAUUGUUGAGCCUUUAGAUGACUCCAAUUCCUCUAAUUGUCCAAAUGAGAUGAUAGGGGUUCCUUAGAACCUAGGAUCACAUUAGCAUAAGCAAUAGGUCAAUUUUACACACUAUGAACCCUAAAAGCUAUCUUUUAGCUAGUUUUCAAUUGCCACAUUAAAUGGCCAUCUAUAUUCACUAUCUUAAUCACUAAAAGUAAUAAACAUACUCAAUAAUAAACAGCUCAUAAAUCCCAAUUACUAGCCAUUUUCUGCAGCUAAAAACCAAGCUUAAUUCAUCACUUACCCUAGGGCUCCUUUGUAGUCAAAUUCUCUCCCAAUAGCUUUCAAAUAAAUGGUGUACUUCUUUUUUUCUCUCUCUAAAAUGUCCAACUAGUGAGAGAAAGUGUGAAAACCAAAUUUUUGAAGGGUUUUAAAGUGAGAGGAUGAAAAGGCAUAAGGGUUUAUGGAAGAGUACACCAAAAGCAUGAAAAUUAAAGCUAGAGAGAGAAAGUUAUGGAAGCUUGAAGAAAACUCCCAUCGAAAAAUUGAAGAAAUGUGAGAGAGGAGAAGGGAAAAAGAAGACCAGCUGCUGAAAAUUCAACAAGGUGUUGGAAAAUUCAAGAUAUUUAUAACCAAUCUUAUCCUUUUCCUUAAAAUUACGAAAAUGCCCCUUCACCAAUUUACUUAUUCUCCUCCAAUCUUUUAUGCAAUCUUUUUGCUCUUUUAACACCAGGACAAGAUCCAUAAUGGUCUAGACAUGUUCAGGUUAAUAAAAACUUAAAAUUUUAACUCGAGGUGAAAAAUGACCAUUUUGCCCCUAUUAUGAAAAUUAUUGAAACUUCUAGUUUUCUUCGUGUUUUCACCAGCACACAUCAUUUAUGCAGUCUUAUACCCAUUUUAACCUUAAAAUAUCAUAAAACUUUCUUCUGGAAGCUUCUUAGAGAAAAUGACGAAAUUACCCCUAGCUCGUAUUAUUACAUCUAUGCUUAGUUACAAGCCUAUAGAGGUUGGGGUCUCACAUUUAUAACCUCUCAAAACAUGUUAUAUUACAACUAUUGAUCAUAGGAGAGCUGACAAAACUGAUAUUAAGGCCUUGCGAGGUUCCAAUCAGCAUUUCGAGCGAUGAAUGUCUAUCGGGACAUCGCGACGAUUGUCACGAGCUCGAUGAGAGUACCGGGUCGUGACAAUUCUAGUGGUAUCAGAGCUUUAGGUUUUAAAGUUAUUUUUAAAAACUACAGUGUUAGUGUGGCCCAAGUUAAGUUAAGUUAAGUUAGGAUUGAUAGAAUAGAAUACGUGCAUCUGCACAUAGAAUUUGGAGUUGUUUAGACUCCUUCUGUUUCUUCUUAUAGAUCUUAUGAGAGCAUAAGUCAUAGACAGGGAGCUAUAUGAACUUCUGUUUCCAGUAAUCCACUUCCUUAUUAAUGUCAUGCAAAGGUCAUAAGUAGGGUCGUUGUCCGGGUUUAAGAUGCCACCCAUGACACGAGCCAGUGUUAGAGAGAUCUUAAAAUGAAUGCUCCUAAUGAAAGAUUACUGAAAUGAUAUAUCCCUCUGAUUAAGGAUGGAGAAAUUUGGAGUUGGACUAAUAGGUCGUGAUAAUUUAUUUAUUUGGUGGAGUUAUAAUUGAACUCAUGGUUGUCAAUUGGAAAAAGAUUUGGGGACUAUGGAUUGUAUUGGGGUUAAUAUAAAUGAGCAUGUGUGAUAAUAGUAAUAAAGGGCGCACUUUGAUUAGAAUGAAUAGUGAUGGUUAUAAUUCAUUUGGAGUGUAUAAAUUAAGCAUUGAGGUAAGAGUAAACCCAUACUUAUGUGCAUGAAGUUAAGAACACUAUGUUAAUUGAGCUUGUUAUGCCCAUAUAAAAGUGGUGUUGAGAUUUUGAAAUAUUUUAUAUGUGAAUAUGUGUUGAAUAGGUACAGCAGCUUAGAGGGAACUGGUGUUGAUUUUAAUUAAGCGAUUGUGAGAUUGCAAGAAUUGUUUGGACCUAUUAUAGUUCAUGGAUAUAAGCACAUGAAUUAACUCGAGAGUGAGUAUCAAUGAUUACUAUAAUUGAUGUGUGGUCAUGAAGUAAGAAGUUAGUAACCAAAUCUGCUCUAAGGAUGAGCUUGAACUUUGCUAUGCAUAGUAAGGGGAGCCAAGGGAUUAAAGGACUAGAUGUGGAAUUGGCAGCUUGAGGUUAAAUGACUUGAAAAUGUUGAAUCUAGUUUAAGUGCCAUAUGAAGUUCUAUAAUUGAGAUUGAUAUACGAAUUACUUGAAAGAUCAAUUUAAAAGUUUAUUCGGUUCAAAGUGUGGCCUAUGAUACGAAUGAUCAGUCUUGAAGGUGAUCUCCCCAAAGUAAGGAAUUUAGAAAAUGUUGAUGUUUGGAUAUACUCUAAGAGAGAGAACUUCUGCAUCCUAAGUUUAUGACAACUUUGAUCUUAUGAUCGCAAAGGCAAGGUGUAAUAACUAAGUAAAUUAUUCACUUAAUAAAUGUGAUUGGUUAUUGAUGAAUAAAGUCAAGAUCUUAACAUUUAGUGGUAUACAAUUUGAUAAUUAUGCAUUUACGAGUUAUUUGGAGACAAUUUCUUUAUGAAAUUUGCUGUAAAUGCUACGGCAAAGGCAUAUCAAUGUUAAUAUGGAAAUGUAUUCAGGACUGAUCUUAACAUACCACCAAAGGACAAUUAAACAUGUUGAAGUUAAUGUUCUAAUAGUGUGCAUAUGAUAGAAAGCUAGUUUGUAAGUUGUAGUUUUCAUGAUCAUGAAAUAUAUAAAGAUUAUCAAUAUAUGGACAUACACUUGGAGUUGUAAUUUACAAGUUUAGAGUAUUUAAGAUAUGAUUAAAUGGAAUUAGCAUUAGUUAAGGUACGUAAAUCUUUUAAUUAAUUUUUAUGGAGUAUGCAUGAUAGUAGAAUGGAGGAACAUAGUGCCAUGAUACUAUAUGGUGAAGUUACUAUACAAUAUGGAAAGAGUAUUCUAAAGUGGGAUUUAUUGACUGAUGAUAAGUGAUGUGCAAUCUGAGAUACAUGUAGCUAUGAAUAAAUUUGGAGAUUUUUGCUUAAGCAAACUCGUACUAAAUGUUAUGGUAAAGAUAUAUGAAUGUUAGUGGCAAAAUAAAUACGUUAAAUCAAUGUUCUGAUCGUACACUUGUGAUAGAAAGUUAGUCUUGCUAAUUGUGGUAUAAACUCAGAGGGAAGCCACACGAUUAUGAAUAAUUGAGGUAGUAGCUUUAAAGGUGGAAGAGUUGCUGGGAUAAAGUGAAUUCAAACAGUUGCAAUGCUACAGUAUUGACUAUCAAACGCUAUCGCGUUAAGAACCCCUAAUGACUAGAAAGUAAGAGCAAACUGUGAGCGGCAUAAAGAUGAAACUCAUGAGUUGAAAUAUGGUUAUUGGUUUUGAUGCUAAGCUUUGUUGUUUGGAGUCUUAAGUGCAUUGGGGAGGUAUUAAGAUAAAGAUGAUGAGUGAAAUUGCAGAGUUUCUUUAUUGCCUUAUGUAUGGGCAUGUAAGAGAAAGAAAAGUUAAAGAGUUUUUGAGAUGGAUACAAAAAAAAAUAAUAAUAAUAAUAAAUAAAUUAACAUGUGGAGUAUUAAGAUGAAUAAUAUGUUGACUAAAGUCAAAUCUUAAGAAAUAAAGUAAAUCUUGUAAAAGGGUAAAGAGGAAGUGAGGGAAAGGUUAGAUGAAUAUAUGAGAUGUUGAUAAGAGAUGUCAAUACCAAGUGAUGAGAGUGUGAAUGGAGAUUUCAAGAAUGAUAUAGCAAAUGAGUUUAUAUAGAAUAUUGUUAUGACAAUUUACUAAUCUUGUCUUGACCUUGUUGAAAGGAAAGGAUUAGUGACAACAGAAGUAAACUACGGGGUAUGCUAGAAACCCUUGGAAAUAAGUUGAAGCAUGAGUAGUUAAGCAUGCAUGUAAAUAUUUUGGUGAGCAAGUGCAUGUCUUUAUGGAAAUGAUAUACUUGGAGUAUGAAAAAGCAAAUAAGUGAUUAAGUGUUUCAAGAAUGUUUAAACACUUUUGAGAAAGAAUUAUAAGUUAUACAUGACGAGCAUAAGAUGCGUGACUUUGAAACUUGUUAAGGAGCCAAACGGCUCAGUCUUGGGUUAAGUGAUCACCUGAUGUGAGACAUAAGUUUAAGAUAGAUAUCCCUAAGGAAAUACUCAAGAAAAGUUCUGCCCUGGAUCUCAUGAAAGCAAGCACUAAGUUAUGUGGAUAUAAAAAGGAAGCUGUAAGCUGAGAGUGAUAUUAGUAUUAAUAUUGAAAAGUUCUUGAGGAGAAUCUAGUUUCAAGACUUGUAAUUUCAAGUACAAUUUGUAAAAUGGUUAAGGAAGAAUGAUGCUAUAUUGUGUGAGAGAGUGGAACAAAAGAUGAUAGAAGUUGACCUUGAUAAUGAAGUCGGAUAAUGAAACUUUCCUAAUAUAUUAUGAAAAUUGUAAUUCAAAAAUGCUUGAGGCAUACGUGAUUCAAAUGAGUCUGAGUUAUAAGUGACAAAUCAAUAUGGGAAUGCAUGAAAGAUACAAGGUAAUGUACAGGUAUGAAGGAUAAUCGAGGAAAAAGGAUGACUCCUAGGAAUUGUGGUAUUGCAUAAGAUGCAAUGAUCAAGUUAAGAUAAAUCUUGGAGGCAUCAAUGGGAUUAUAAAGCAUACAUGCAUAAUAGAUUAUAAUUCAAUGGAGAAGACAUUAUGAUGCAAUGAUAUAUAGUACAAGAAGACUUAAGCAUAUAAUUGGAAAUGAUAAGAAGAGAGUAUAAGUAUGUAAAUGAUGUGGAACUAUGCAUAAGCAUGAUGAGAAUUUGUAUGAAAUAUGAAGAUUAUUCUAUUGAAUCUUGGUUAUGGAUGAGAAUGAACAAAGAGAAAGUAGUCUAAAGGCAUUUGAAAAUAGAGACCCGUGUACAUAAUAAGGAAUAUGGACAUUUGAAUGUGCGUGUAUACCUAUGUGUGGAGUUAGUGAUGUACCGAACUAAAAUGAAGAAUGGUUUUAGUGGUUCGAGAUCUGAACUCAAUAUAUUUGAUGAGUUGUAUAGAUAAUGUAAUGAUCCAAAAUCAUAUCAGAAGUCGAUUUGUGACGACCUAAGGAAUUUUGGGGAAAUAGUUAAGGGAAUGUAAUCUAUAGUGCGAAUAAGCCAUAUGAGAUGGAUUAAUAGGAUUAAGAAGAUUGAAAUUUCCUAAAUGUAAGGUAAAUAUGAAGUAUGUGGAAAUAAUUGAAGCCAUUAAUCUUCCCUAACGUUGAGGAUAUGUAUAAGAAUGAGUGUGGCAUGUUAAUGAUGCCGUAAACUAUACAAUAGUGUAUAAGGAGAGAAUGAAUGAAUGAAUGAAAGUCUAGAAGUUCUAUAUGGAAUGAAGUAAUAAGAUAGUGAUUGGUAUACCUAAAUAAGUAUAAAAUGCGAUCGAAAUUGGUAUGAUUGAGAUGAAGCUAUGGUUCAAGUUUAAUGAUAGUAAUAGAAGCAUCCUUGGUGUCUUGAUAUAAGAGAUCAUAAUUGUGAAGGUUACUGUUGAUAUGAUUUUAAAGGAUAAUAAUAGACAUAAGUGAAGUACUCAAGUUGAAUUGGAGGUAAAUGAGGUGAAGAAAUCGAAAUUCCCUAUAAAGGGGAGGACAUAAGAAGUGGAGCAUUAGAUGAGAAAACAGUACCCCUACCUUUUCUCUGAGCUCAGUAAAUAAAAUUUUGAGGUUAAAAUUUUAUUUUAAGGGGGGUAGCACCGUCAAGCUCGACCUUAUAAAGUACUUGCCAUGUCCUUCAUGUGAUUGACAAUAUGCUUGCAUACUUGGAAAGCCCCGAAAAAUCGUCAAAAGUCAAUAUUGUGCCAAAUGGUACUAUUAAGUUGAAUUAAGCCUCGAACUAGUCUAAAUAGAGAUCUUAAGAUGAAAUUGAGAAUUUUAAAACCCCAGCAUGACUUAAAAUGAUGAUUUGGAGUUCGAGGGUUGAAUUGGAGUUAAUUUGGAAUUUUCAUGUUCUAGAGGUAAAAUGGUAAUUUUAUCACCCGAGGAUAAAAUGGAAAUUUUUAGAAAAGAUUUUGAUCACAUUUGACUCAUUGGAGUAUGAUUUGAGUUUGAGAGGUGAAAAAUUUUAAUUUAGACAUUUUUAGAGUCCUAGGGGUAAAACGAUAAUUUUACAAGUUUACGGGGGCAAAGUUAGAAUUUUGGACCUAACACUUGUCAUGCCCAUGGAUUUCAGCCAUUAACAUUUUGCAUUGUGGAUAAUUGAAACAUUUUAAGUGAUGGAUAGAGAUUGCUUAAUGGGUAAGUAUUACACAUGGACCAAUGGAAACAUGCCAUGUGUCAAGCUUGGAUUAUUCUAGAAUUUCCUUGUAAAAUCUAUUUAAAACUCUCUUAGUCUAGCCCAUAUGGGCGGCCAAAGCAUGAAGUGAAGAGGAAAGGAAAGAACACAAACCCUAGGUGGGAAAAUUAAAGAAAAAUUAUGGGAUUUCAAGGGAUUAAGCUAAUAAAGGUAAAAUUUUGUGAUUUUAUCUUGUGAUUUACACUACCCAUGCUGUCUUUUUCAUUUUCCAUGCUUAGAACUCUAGUUUGCAUGAUGAACCCAUGCUGGCCGAAUUUGAAAGGAGAGGUUUUGAGCAUUGAUUUUGCUAGAUUUCAAGCUAAUUAAUUGUUUUUGGUUGUUUGGUAAUGGAAAGUAUGAAAAUCUAGUAAGGAAUCACUUUGUUCAUCAUAAACCCACAAGAGGCUGAAUUUUCUAGGGAGGAUAUUGAGGCUGAAAUUGAUGAUAUUUCAUGAUAUUUUGGUGGUAUUUAAUGAUUGGUGAGGCUAGAAAUUUAAUGGGAAAUUUUGGCAUGAAAAUCCAAAUUUUACCUAAUGUAUAGACAUGUGCGAUUUAUGGUUUGGACUGAUAAAUUGAAUCAUAUUCACAGUCAUUGAGGUAUUUUAAGUAUAAUUGGAGUGUACAAAGUGAAAGAAAUCGAUUUGCAGUUAAAUUGAAGGUUUUAGCCAAUUACAUCCAGAAUAGUGCGAAUUAGGUCGAAUACCGUAUUUAAACGGCUAUUCAGACAUUUUGCAUCACAUUUUGUGCAUUCAUAUAGAUUUAUAAAGCCUGAAAUAGUUUAUGAUAAAUUGACAUAAUUUAUUGAAAUUCGUGUCACGUAGAUGUAUAGGUGGUGAGCCCUCUAACAAGGGUAAAGAGAUUGUGCCCGAAGACCGAGAAUAUGAGUAUAUCGAACUCCUAGUAUUGUGAGUAACCUUACUAUCAUCUUAAUUAUCUAAAGUGGUUUUUAUCCGAUUUUGUGAAUAUCCUGGAAAAUGAAUUAAAUGAUUAAUUUUUUGAUUUUAUAAACCAAAUGUGAUUUAAUGAAAUGAUUUCAUAAAAUUGUUUUAAAAUUGAAUAAUGGCUUUAAAAAUAGAGUAAUUGGAGACCAUUUGAAGUAUUGUGAAUUUAUGGUUCUAAUUGAUUGACUUAUGACAGUAUUGGCAUGAAUGGCUACAUUGGUAUUUGUGUUGAAAUGUAUAAACUAUUGUUUGCCUUGACAGGCUGGAUAAUGAUAAAUUUGCCAUGUUAUGCUGUUGAAUUUUUACUGUAUGGUGGCUUUAUCUUGCUGCAGUGGGCUGGUUAUAUGGACUAACCUAUUAAAGGGGCACAAAACCUGGUCAUAUUCUUACCUCGGUUGGAGAGGCGAGUACGGUAACUCCCGAGGUAUAACUUUUAGAGUUCACUUCAUGCCAAACCACCACGUGAGGGUGAACUCAGCCAACGCCAAGGAACGGCUAUAUUUUCAAAAUAAAAACAUGAUUUAUGAGUACAUAACUUUUUAAUAGCCUUGGCGGACUCGAUUUUGGAUAGCCCACGGCCAAGGUAUCCUUGAUAACUGAGUAUGAGAAUGAUUUUGGCACGAGCCAAAUCCUUUAAGAAAUUCAUAAGCCAUGUUAAUUACUCGAUUUAUAUGAAUUGAUUUUAUUUGGUUGAAACUUGUUGAAAGGUGAUGAAUUACAGUAUGUUAAACUAUUUUAUCUAUCUCCAUUUACUCAGUUUUAGAUAUUUUAGAUGGUAUUUGUUUACUCACUAGGAUUAUAUAAUCUCACCACCUUCCUUUCAACCCAUUUCAGACUCAAAAUAGAUUGUAGAUAACUGAUACCGUCGAGGACUACAGUUAGACUUGUCACAUCCAAAAACUGUAGGUUCAUUUUUUUUGAAACUUUUAGUCAUUCGUGGGGCCACAUGUCACUGUAAAUUAAAUUUUAUACUUUGGUUAUCUGUAUUAUAAUAUGUAUGAAUUUAUUUAACUUUUAUGCUACAAAAAUUAUUUAUCUGUAACUCUAUAAAUAUUGUUUUAUAAAAAAAUAGAAUAUUUUAUUGAAUAUUUUUGUUAUAUUCAAAUAAAUAUAGUUUCGUUUGAAAAGAAUGUUUCAGACAUUUAAAUUUAUUUUUUAUUAUGAAAUAUGUGUUUUCCACUCGUAUACCACAUUUUUAAUUGGUUUCGAGAUUUGUGAGAAAAAAUGACCAAAAUGCCCCUAUGAGACAAAAGAAUUAUUUUUCUAUUGUUUUGAUUUGGUAAUAGUUUAUAGCCUCUCAAAACAUGUUAUAUUACAACUGUUGAUCACAGGGGAGGUGAGAAAACUGAUAUUAAAGGCUUAAGAGGUUCCAAUCGGUAUUCUAGACGAUGAAUGUUUAUAGGGACAUCGCGAUGGUUGUCACGGGCUCGAGGAGAGUACCGGGUCGUGACACAAUUGAUCUCGUAGAUUGAAGUGUAGAGAUACUUGGAACUAGAAUAUAGGUGCUUGCCUAGGAGAGUAAGUUCACUGAACAUGACCCGCCAUGAGAAGUGCAUUUGGUAAUACACUCUAGUGUCUAUGCAACACUUCUCAUGUGUCAGUUGUGUAAAUAUUUCUUAAGCUUGAGACGCCAGGUUAUCUUAUGUGUGGAGUGCUAUGCUUUGAUUUCAUCCCUAUGGGUGCCUAACCAAGGAUGCCAAAGUAGAAUGCUUUUAGGUAUAGUAUGAAGCAUGUGAAGGCAAAUGAGUGGUCAAGAUAGGAAUCAUCACAUCGAGUGUUUUAGAAAACAUAUCUUAUCAGUUCUUUGUUAACAUUAGCUCAUUGAAGUCCUUGGCCAAGGUGACAUGGAGAUUAUGAAAAAGGUUUCAUAACUCUCUAUAGAGCUAAUGCUAUAAUUACAGGAACAAAUAUGGAGGUCAAUAAGAGUAGACACUAUACCAAGCUCUUAUCAUCUCCGGGAUAUAUGAUGAGGGAAUGAAUUACACUGAUAGACUGUACACUGAAAGGUUGUCAAAGAACCCUUUGACUCUCCCAACAAUUGGGUGGCCAUGAUGCAUUGCUAUAGGCCAAUCUUGGUCUAUGGAAUUGAUUGAAAUUUAUAUUAAUCAAUUAAGUCAUUAAUCAAUUCCAUUGCCAACAUGUUGGGAACCUUAUGGGCCACACGCAAUGAUUGCAUUUGAAUUAAAUUGGGAGAGUGACGAUUUAAGUUAGACUUAAAUCACAUGCUAGGUAAUUAACUUCUAUAAACUUAAUUAAAAGAGUUUAAUUAAGUUUUUGGCAUAAUUAUAAAUAGUUAUAAUUAUCAGGCCUUGAUUGCAAAAUAUAAAGGAAAUUAAUUUUUAUUUUAAUUUCCAAGGACUUAAUUAAAAGAGUUUAAUUAAGUAAUGGGCCUAAUAUUAUAAUGUGUUAUAAUAUUGAGGGCUUAAUUGCAAAAUUGAAGUUAUUUUAACCUAACUAUAUAAGUGACCUUUUAACUAUUUUCCACAUGAGAGUUUUUCACAAUUUAUGAAAAUGUAGUUUUUGUUAGAAAAAGAAAAUCGUUUUUUUCUUUGCCACCACUCCCUUUGUGUGAAAGAGAAAAUUGCUUAUGAAGCAAUUUUCAAGAGAGGUUCGGCUAAGAUUGUGAAAAAGAAGAAAAGGGCAAUUGUUGUCCUUUUUGCUAGCACAAAGUAUAGUUAAAAACUCCUUCCUUUGUUGAAGGUUCAAAUGCAUUCGUGUGUACUACCAUUGGAGGCCAAGCACUUGAUUGGCUAGGGUUUUUGUUCCUUGUGGUAUUCAAGGGAUUGCUUCAAAAAGUGCCAUCGUGAUUACAGAAUUACAUGGCAAGGUAACUUUCUAAACAAAAAUUUAUUUUGUGCUUUUAUGUGUUAGAUAUCACCAAGGUGAUCCAUGGGUGGAGGCAUGUUUUGUUGUUUAGUUAUAAAGUUUUUAAUUUUCUUUCCGCUGCGUAUUUUGAGCAUGCCAUCCAUAGCCAAACCCAUCAAUUACUCACCUUGGUGAACUUGUAGUUGAAUCCUUUAGUAAGGAUUAAAGAGGGAAAAUUCUUUUAAGGGUUUUCUCAAGCUAAUUUGAAGAGUUUCUCUCUCUAAAAUGUUAAACUAGUGAGAGAAAGUGCUAAGGGAAGACUUUUGAGGAUCUUUGAGGUGAAAAAGUGAAAGAGCACAAAGAAUCCUAUGAAAAAAUGUACAAAAGCAUGAGAAUUGGAGUUAAUUUGAGAAAGUUAUGGAGGUUUCAAGGGUGGCCUCCAUGGAAGAUGGAAAGUUUGGAAUGGAUAGGAGGGAUGGGAAGAAGAAGAAGUUGCUGGAAAAUUAGAUAUUUAUUUCUAGGGUUGACUAAAGUUCCACCUAUUUACAAAAAUGCCAUUACAUAGUUGACUUUGCCUUUUUCUUUCCUUUUGCUCAAAUUUUUUACUCUUUUGACACUAAGAAAAGGUCCAGAAUAGAUUAGAGGUACUCGAGUUCAUGAGAACUUAGAAAUUUAGACCUAUGACCCAAAAUGACCAUUUUGCCUUUAUUAUGGAAAUUAUCAUUAUUUCUAUUUUCUUCAUUUAUUUCAUUAUUAUAUAUAUCAUUCAUUUAUUCCUUAGGCCUACUUAGACCUUAAUAAUAUCAGAAAAACCCACUUCUAGGAGCUCACUAAGAAAAUGACAGAACUACCCCAAAUCCACGUCAAUGUGUUUACCUCCGCUACACGUCUAUGAAGGUCGAGGUUUCACAAUUUUGUGCUAAGCAACUAUGGUGUGCCUAUAGAGCCUAGCUUAGUGAUGGCUUUAAAGGUUUCAUAAUAUUUAUGGAGAUGUAGAUUAAAUUAAUCUUGAAUGUGGAGAUACCAUUUAAGAUGUGAUCAUGACGAGAUAUGAUAUGAUGAGGUCAGCACAUAGGAUAUUAGGAUGAUCCUUGCACCUUUAUAUGUGGAGAUGUUUGAUAAAUAAGCAUGUUUGCCUUAUGACUAGAUAUGUCUCUAUAAAUUUACAUAUAAGUGCUUAUGAUUAUAUGUUAGCUUCCCCCUCACUGAGUAUUAGAUGACUGACCUUUCUGUUAUACCAUGUACAAAUAAUUGAAGCUACAAGAUUGCGUGGCUAACAUUGUCUCUUGAUAGACAAAUUUUAGCAUCCGAUAGUUUUCCUAUUUGACUAGUCCACUUCGCUAAGUCCGAGUUACGAUAACUUUCGCUUCUGGUUUUGGUUUCCCAACCGUGUUUGCUUGGGAUUUGUGUAGGCACGGCAUGCCAUAUGUUAUUAUGUUAAGGGCUUGUUUGGGAUGAACUCGCUUGUUAGCUGAUGUAUGGCUUGUGAAUGUCAUGUUAAAUAUUGAGAAUGAACUAAGUGCCAAAGGGCACUGUUUAUGCAUUUGAAUUUUUAGUUAUAAUGCAAAUAUGCUAAUGUGCAGAACUUUUGAAUAUUUAAUUUGAUUUGAAUUUUCGAGGCUUGUGCGAUUUUGUGAGCUUUGACUGUUGGACUUGUGCAUUGGUCAGGCCUCCCAGAUUUGGGUCGUGACAGAGACCAACAGGUGGUUUUCUAAACCUUAGAUACAUGAUAUGAGAUAUUGGGACUUACCCCAUAUAGGUUUGAUUAUAUUGGGGAUGAUUGGUAUUUCAUUCUGUUUAAAAUUAUGGCAUGUUUUGUAACAUUUUGUUUUAAUAAAAACUCUUUUGUUAUGGCUUGAUUCCCUCCGUAUCCACCCAUUGAGUUAUGAAAGACUCGUCCAAUUAAUUGUUGCAUUGUGCAGAUAAAUAGAAUGUGGGAUUUGAGUGGCUAGCGUCGUCUUCUAGACAUACACUUUUAACAUCUAGUAAGCAUUCUUCAUCUAUUGAGUCCACUCAACUGAGUUUGAAUUCGAGUUUGUUUCCAUUUCCCAUUUUGGCUUUCAAAUAAACUAUAUUUCAUACUUUAUUUUCUUUGUUCGGAUUAUGUAGGCACUACAUUGCCAUUUGUUUCUAUUAACUGUUGUACAGGAUGAACUCGCUACGCUGGCCAGUGUAUGUCUUUGAGAAUAUUGUGUUUAAGACACCUAGUGUAAUUAUAUGCCAACAGGGUCAGGGUUUAUGUUGUUUGAAUCUAUGUUAUGUUGUAUAUAUAUUGUGGCUAUAGGGCCUUUCAUUUUUAUGUUUGUGGGUAGAUAUUUUUGAGGCUUACACGGGCCUCACGGGCUUUGUUUGUUGGACUUGUGCAUCGGUCAUAACCUUUAAGUUCGGGUUGUGAUAGAAAAUUUAAAAUUCCACUCAAUCAUUUUUCAACAAAACUUUUCGUUGGUAAUUCCAUCAAAAAUAAGAAGAAUAAUCUGUUGUAAAUUAAAAGGGACAUCAUUAAAAAAACAUAAUUUUUGUUGAAAAUUCUAUGGGAAAUGUCGACGAAAUCCAUCAGAAAUAUGAAUGAAUUCAAUCAAGAUUUUGCCCCAAACAUGGUCCUUCCAUCAGAAAUUUUAUUGGAAAUCAAUUAAAAUAUGAAAAAUAUGUAACACCCCAUACUCCCGUAUAGUAGUCAACAUAACCGUAUCGAUAAGACGAAGGGCUAAUUGACGUGGAUUUAAGUGUCAAAGAGUGGUGGCGGGUGAAAGGAAUAUUCUAAAGUAAAAUAUUUCGCACGCGAGGAAAUAACAAUUAAAUAAUAAUAUUUUUAUUGAGGAUGAAUUAGUGAUAUAAAAGGUGAUUUGGAAGUGAAUCGGGGCAUAAUAAGACAUUUUAGGUUCCAAGAAGACAAGUGAAAAAUCUUAAGAUAAAAUAAUAUUUUAUUAAUAAAAUAAUAUUAAAAUAUUAAUAUUUUAUUUGAUAUCGAAAUUAGUCAUGAAGGAGGAGUAUAUGGUCAAUUUAAGUAGGGGAGAAGAACAAUGAGGGAAAUUCGAAGAAAAACGACGUUAGUGGGGCUCGCGUGCCUUUAUUAAAUAAAGCUAGCAUGGGUAAGUAUAUAUUUAAAUAUUAUGGUGAUACCUCAUUGAAGUGCAAACUUUAUAUUUUAUUUGUACAAGUGUAAAGGAAGAAAAAUAGAAGAAAUUGGAAUUAAAAGAUUGUUUGGAGGACUAAAUUAAAAAGGGGAGAAACAUGGCCCAAAUGGUAAUUUUUCCAUUAACUUGGUCAAAGCUUCCAAAGGAAGCUUUGACUCUUUUCUUCUUUUUCCAUAGCAGAUCCUUAUCUUGGAAGCUUUGACUCUUUUCUUUUUUUUCCAUAGCUGGUCCUUAUCUCCCAAAAGGCAUUUUUCUUCUUCAUCUUCUUCCUCUAAUGCCAUUUUCCUCUCUUCACCAUGAAAAUCAAAUUUUUUUUUCAUUUUCUUUUCCUUCCUUUAUUUUCCUUUCCUUUCCUUUCUUACUUCUUCUGUCACGACCCGAUACUCUCUUCGAGCCUGUGACAACCGUCGCGAUGCCCCGAUAGAUAUUCAUUAUCGUGAAUGCCAAUUGAAACCUCACAAGGCUUAAUAUCAGUUUUCGCACCUCCCUUGUGAGCAAUAAUUACUAAAUAUCAUAUUUUAAAAGAUUAUAAGCUAUUUUCAAAUCAAAACAAUAAUAAAAAAAUAUUUUCUGUCACACAGGGGCAUUUUGGUCAUUUUUCUAAAAAUUUUGAAACUUGCUGAAAAUAUAAUGUAUAAGGGAAAAUACACAUUUCAUAACUAAAAACAAGUUUUUAUGUCUAAAACAUUUAUUGAGGGUGAAAUUGUAGCUAAUAGAAUAAAAUAAAAAUAUUAAAUGAAAUAUUUCAUUUUCUUAUAAAACAAUAUUUAUAGUACUCUGUGUAAAUAAUUUUUGUAGCGUAAAAGCAAAAUAAAUCCAUACAUACAGUAACACAAAAAACCAGAGUAUGUAAUUAAUUUACAAUGACGUGUGGGCCCCCAAAUGACCAAAACUAACAAAGGUUGUGGACCUAUAAUUUCUGUGGAGGCGAGUCCAAUAAUAACCCUCGAUGUAAUCAGCUAUUUACGAGCUGUCCUAAUCCUGGAAUGAGUGGAAAGGAGGGUGGUGAGUUUAUAUAAACUCAAUGAGUAAACAAACAUCAUUUAAAAUAUCUAAAGUCGAGUAAAUGGAGACAACUUAAAAUAGUUCAUCGUACUAUGAUUCAUAGCGUUUCAAACUCAUUUCAACUAAAUAAAAUAAUUUCAUUUCACUCAAAUAAUCAACAUGGCUUAUGAAUUUCUUAAAAAUUUGGCUCGUGCCAAAACUCAUUCUCAGGCAUACCUUGGCCAGGGCAUCCAACCGAGUCCGCCGAGGCUAUUAAAGAAAAGUUCAUAUAUGCAUAAAACACAUUUUUACGUUUAAAAGCAUAGCCGUUCCUUGGCGUUGGCUGAGUUCACCCUCACAUGGUGGUUUAGCGUGUAGUGAACUCUAAAGCUUUACCUCAGGAGAUACCCUUCGCGCCUCUCGUACUGAGGUAAAAUAUAACCGGGUUUACCGUGCCCCUCUCUAAUAGGCUAGUCCACGAAAACCCACCACUGCAGUGACUAACCACCAAAUCAAUAAAAGUUUCGACAGCAUGACAUGGCAAUUAUAUUACUACCCAGCCUGUUAAGGCAAAACAAACAGUUCAUACAAUUUGAACACAAUUUCCAAUUCAGCCAUUUAUGCCAAUAUCACCAUAAGCCAUUCAAUUCAAACCAUAAAUUUACAACACAAUCAAAUAGUUUCCAAUUACUCAAUUUCUAAAAUCAUCAUUCAAUUUCAAAAUGAUUUAUAAAACUCAUUUCAUUUAAUCACAUUUUACUUAUAAACAUAAGGAUUUACCAUUGAAACUCAUUUUUCUAUAAAAUCACAAAAACGAAUAAAAACUACUUUAGAUAUGUAAAACCCGACCCUAUAAACACAUGUCAUGACAUGCAUGCACUGAGUAGUAUGUUAUUAUGCUAGGAAAGCAUCUAAGAAUAGACGAAAUCCGGUAUCGUACCUAAUGGUACACUUGAGUUGAUUUAACCUCGAUCUAGUUCAAAUAGGAAUUGUAGGAUGAAAUUUGAUAUUUUAUAGUCCAGCAAUGACUAAAA